GCAUCGGUGGUUCAGUGGUAGAAUACUCGCCUGCCACGCGGGCGGCCCAGGUUCGAUUCCCGGCCGAUGCA
rnacentral:tRNA from 1 species